AUUGUUGUGAAUAGAAGAAAACACGGGGACAUUGUAGUUAUCAUAACUUCUAUAUAAAGCAAAUAGUAAAUGGAAUUCGGUGAGCACAAGCCAGAAGAUUCCCACUUUAAUGCUUAGUAUAUACGUAGAAACAUGGCAAGAAGUCAAUCAACCAUAAUAACAUGCUCAACCUCUACCUCUACCUCUAUGCAACCAAGUCUUCUUCUGCCCAAGAUUCAACAUCCCAAGCCCUCACUCAAGACGCCAUUCUCCGCUAUUGCACCGCCCCGCUUUAUCAGAGUCUUUAAAGUACAUAUUCAGACAACCUUGGAAACAAUUUAUGAAGAAGAAAAAGAAGAAGAGGAAUGCAUGGACAUGAGUCAGACAACUUCUUCGUCUUCAUCGAUCUUGUCUAGUCAGUCUACUUGUUUCUUGUUACAGGGUCAAAUGCCUUUGUUGUCUUAUAGUAGUCAUAGCAUGGGGUGUGCUUAAGCAGCCACUCUUAUGGGACAAAAUCCAUGAAAUACUUAUCCCACAGUAGUACUCAUGGUUUUUGUUGGAGAAGUUAAUUUUAUUUUAAUUAAUUGCGUAAUUUCGAAAAUAGAUUGCUUGAGAGUUGAGAGUAUCUAUUCCAAACUCAAGUAAAUUUUGUUAGGUUCUUUAUUGAGUUUCCUCAGGUGUAGAGACUAUUAACUAAGUUGUAACGAUAAUCAUAUACUUUUGAAUCAAAAUGGAAGAUUUCUUUUAUUUUUGUUUUAUUAUUAUUUUUUUUUGUGGAAGAGAAAAAACUAUUCCAAAUUUAUAACUUCAAAUAGUUAUUAUCAUUUUUAUUUGAAAAAGAAAAAGGUAAUUUCCUAUAUAUAAUUGUUCCUCAAACUUGCAAAUGACAUUUUGCCGAUUAAGAAAAAUAAAUCAACUUUCUACUAAAGGAGAAAGCUUUGUUUUCAUGAAUAUUUGUUAAAGUACUUGUGUUGAAUUAUAACACAUUCAAAUGGUGGACAAGUUCACCAGAUUGUCGUCAUCAUUUGCUUUAUCAUGAUUCUAGUGGCUCAAAAGAAUUACAGAUUGUCUUCGCUUCUCUUGUUCGGAGAUGUCCUCCUGCUCUUUGUAAUGUUUCUUUUCUAUUUUAAUAUUAUUAAGGACUAAAGUAACAAUGAAAAGUCUAUUGAUGUGCCAAACUAAGUCCACAUAUCAAAUAUUUUAACACGUGUUAAUA
rnacentral:lncRNA from 1 species